UGGGGAAUUUUGGACAAUGGGGGAAACCCUGAUCCAGCCAUCCCGCGUGUGCGAUGAAGGCCUUCGGGUUGUAAAGCACUUUUGGCAGGAAAGAAACGUCAUGGGUUAAUACCCCGUGAAACUGACGGUACCUGCAGAAUAAGCACCGGCUAACUACGUGCCAGCAGCCGCGGUAAUACGUAGGGUGCAAGCGUUAAUCGGAAUUACUGGGCGUAAAGCGUGCGCAGGCGGUUCGGAAAGAAAGAUGUGAAAUCCCAGAGCUCAACUUUGGAACUGCAUUUUUAACUACCGGGCUAGAGUGUGUCAGAGGGAGGUGGAAUUGCGCGUGUAGCAGUGAAAUGCGUAGAUAUGCGGAGGAACACCGAUGGCGAAGGCAGCCUCCUGGGAUAACACUGACGCUCAUGAACGAAAGCGUGGGGAGCAAACAGG
rnacentral:rRNA from 1 species